UACGUAGGGUGCAAGCGUUUAAUCGGAAUUACUGGGCGUAAAGCGUGCGCAGGCGGUGAUGUAAGACAGAUGUGAAAUCCCCGGGCUCAACCUGGGAACUGCAUUUGUGACUGCAUCGCUGGAGUACGGCAGAGGGGGGAUGGAAUUCCGCGUGUAGCAGUGAAAUGCGUAGAUAUGCGGAGGAACACCGAUGGCGAAGGCAGUCCCCUGGGCCUGCACUGACGCUCAUGCACGAAAGCGUGGGGAGCAAACAGG
rnacentral:rRNA from 1 species